UAGCUCAGUUGGUAGAGCGCAACCUUGCCAAGGUUGAGGUCACGAGUUCGAACCUCGU
rnacentral:tRNA from 1 species